rnacentral:rRNA from 1 species
GACGUAGGGCGCGAGCGUUGUCCGGAUUCAUUGGGCGUAAAGGGUGCGUAGGCGGUCGUGCAAGUCGGAUGUGAAAUCUCAGGGCUCAACCCUGAAACUGCAUUCGAUACUGCGUGGCUAGAGUGCUGGAGAGGAGACUGGAAUUUACGGUGUAGCAGUGAAAUGCGUAGAUAUCGUAAGGAAGACCAGUGGCGAAGGCGAGUCUCUGGACAGCAACUGACGCUGAGGCACGAAGGCCAGGGGAGCAAACGGG